rnacentral:rRNA from 1 species
AAUAGAUACCCGGGUAGUCCACGCCGUAAACGAUGAGUGCUAAGUGUUAGAGGGUUUCCGCCCUUUAGUGCUGCAGCUAACGCAUUAAGCACUCCGCCUGGGGAGUACGGUCGCAAGACUGAAACUCAAAGGAAUUGACGGGGGCCCGCACAAGCGGUGGAGCAUGUGGUUUAAUUCGAAGCAACGCGAAGAACCUUACCAGGUCUUGACAUCCCACUGACCGGUAUAGAGAUAUACCUUUCCCUUCGGGGACAGUGGUGACAGGUGGUGCAUGGUUGUCGUCAGCUCGUGUCGUGAGAUGUUGGGUUAAGUCCCGCAACGAGCGCAACCCUUGAUCUUAGUUGCCAGCAUUUUAGUUGGGCACUCUAAGGUGACUGCCGGUGACAAACCGGAGGAAGGUGGGGAUGACGUCAAAUCAUCAUGCCCCUUAUGACCUGGGCUACACACGUGCUACGAAUGGAUGGUACAAAGGGCUGCAAGACUGCGAAGUCAAGCCAAUCCCAUAAAACCAUUCUCAGUUCGGAUUGCAGG